CUCUCCAGUAGCCGGGACUACAGGCGCCAGCCACCAUGCCGUGUUAGUCAGGAUGGUCUCAAUUUCCUGACCUCGUGAUCCGCCCACCUCAGCCUCCCAAAGUGCCGGGAUUACAGGCGCAGAGGAGCAUUUUUUAACUGAAAUGAGAUCAUCUAAAGCCUUAACAAAAAUAAUGAGGAAUCUGGAAAACAUACCACAUAUGGAAAAGAAUAAUGUAUCUGGCAAAAAUAUCCUUUAAGCAUGCAGGAGAAAUAAAGACCUUCCAGACAACCAAAAGCUGAGGGAUUUCAUUAACACCAGACCUCUCCUACAAGAAAUGCUAAAGGGAGUUCUUCAGUCUGAAAGGAAAGGAUGUUAAUAAGCAAGAAAAGAUCAUCUGAAGGUAUAAAACUCACUGGAAAUAGUUCCAACAUAAUUGAAGCAAAUAGUAAAUACUGGUUGAAUGCAUGCCAGAAAGACACUAUGCUUGGCACACAGAGAAAAAAUUCAUAGCUGUUGGUUCAAAGAACUCUGUACGGUAAAAUCUAUUGAUGUGCUCUCUUGUGAUAACUUUCUGUUCCUUUAAAGAAGCAAUAAUCCAGGACAAUGGAUGAGGCAGGAGUCACUCAUCAUUGCUGUGAGUGUGAAUCAUUGCUAUUACAAAUUUAUUCCUAAAGGAUUUCCAUCCUUUUCUUGAUAUCUUAAAUAUCAAUUUCUACUUUCUCCUACUUUUUCUAAGAUUUUAUUUUAAUUUAGCCUCUUAAUCUGUUGAAAAAUUUUAAGUUAAUUUGAUUUUUAUGUUGUUAUAUUUUUUAAUUUAUUUCUUUCAAGUUAAUUGAUUACUUCUAACUGCAAGUUCUAACUGCAAGUUAACUUCCUAUCAUUUCAG
rnacentral:lncRNA from 1 species